GACGAACGCUGGCGGCGUGCUUAACACAUGCAAGUCGAACGGAAAGGCCCUGCUCUUGUGGGGUGCUCGAGUGGCGAACGGGUGAGUAACACGUGAGUAACCUGCCCUUGACUUUGGGAUAACUUCAGGAAACUGGGGCUAAUACCGGAUAGGAGCUCCUGCUGCAUGGUGGGGGUUGGAAAGUUUCGGCGGUUGGGGAUGGACUCGCGGCCUAUCAGCUUGUUGGUGAGGUAGUGGCUUACCAAGGCUUUGACGGGUAGCCGGCCUGGGAGGGUGACCGGCCACAUUGGGACUGAGGUGCCGCCCGGACUCCUUCGGGGGGCAGCAGUGGGGGAUAUUGCACGAUGGGCGGAGGCCUUAUGCAGCAACGCCGCGUGCUGGAUGACGGCCUUCGGGUUGUAAACCGCUUUCGCCUGUGACGAAGCGUGAGUGACGGUAAUGGGUAAAGAAGCACCGGCUAACUACGUG
rnacentral:rRNA from 1 species